CAAUUAAAGGAAUUCUUAGGCAACUUAAGCCCAGUUCAGACCAAAGAUUCCUGAGGAGACGAGUUGAAACUUGCAACUUCUUGUAACGAGCCGGUCUGCAGCGUUCGGAAACUUGCCAGUUCACACUAAUGAGACAAGACGAGACGGCGCAUCAUCUCCAUAACAACGCCUCUUUGUAGGCUACUUCCGUUCAAACCUACGACUUUUAGGCUUUUUUGUAGCUGGAUUUAUCGUUUGUUUUGUCUAAAUAUGUAAGUGGAUAAUGUUAGUGACAGUGAGAUGCUUGCUACAGUUACAUUUCUAGUGAUGAAUCGGCAAAAACACGUUUUAUUUUUCUG